rnacentral:lncRNA from 1 species
AUGAUAGCUGUAAUCGUCAUUGGUAUAAUCAUCAUUCUCACAUUUUUGCUGAUUAUCCUCAAGACAUACAACAGGAGGACCCAUGCGAACAGGAUGCUGAAUGGAGGCUCCAACAAACCACGAAAGAAGGUGUCCUCAACUACCACCAACACAAACCUGGCCAUGAGCAACGUGGUUGCAAACUCAGUCUCUGGAAGCUUUGCGCAGUCUAAUGCGUCCUCAGAGAACGGGUACCGCAUUCCUCGCGUCGACCUGGGAAACGUGGAUCUGAGUAAUGGGGAGCAUUUCAGCACCAACAGCGGCUCAACUAUUGUGACGAUACAUGACAUGCCAUCAGUAGAUAACACAUAGCAGACAUUAUCCGGACACUUGGAUGAUACUAACAUGAACAGAGAACCAGUGGAAGAGGCCCGGUCAUAUCUGAGCACCCACCAUUAACCGAACAUUCACUGCCCGUUUGGGAUUUUAUGGAACUUUGAUAAAAGUCCACUUUAGAAAAACCUGUAUAUGAUAUAGAAGAACCAGAGGAACGCUUCAGACGAGUGUCCUAUCACUUGAAUGAUUCUAGUUUUAUUUUUAGCACUGGAUUUGGUGAUGAAAUGUAGGUUAGAACAUAUUAUACUACCUUGAGCUGAAAACUGUUUUUCUUAAAAAAUGGAAUUGGUGGGAGCCAGAAUUCAGUUAGAGAUGAUAAGGAUGCCCGUUAAUUUAACCAUGACGUGCACUCUGUAAUAGCAAGGUCUGUCAGAAAAGAUGUUCAAACAAUAUAAUAUAAUGUAUAUGUUUUACAUUUAUGCAUUUGACAGAUGCUGAUUCAUUAAAAGUAUAGAUUUUGUUUACAUAGUCCCUGGGACUCAAACCUAUGACUUUGACAUUGCUAGUGAUUUUAGAAGUCUUGUCUAGUCUAACAUGUUAUUGUUGUGUUGGGAAAAGACUCUGAGAUGUUACAUUGUGAGCUGGGCAUUUCCUGUGUGAAACAACCACAAUGCUCUUUUUAAAGAGUUAGUUGAAAAGAUUUCAUUCUCACUGAACUUGCUUGUGAGUUUGCAGUUUAAUCAGACGCGGUUAGUGGAUCUUUCAGAAAUAUUAGAGUUUGCAGCUGAUUACAUCACUGAAUAAUGGAUCAUUUAUCAGUCAGAUUUCAAAUAAACCAGGAACCACUGUUCUUUUUAAACAUAAAUAUACAGUUUUAUUCUAAUAAAUAUUAUUCUAAAAUAUAUAGGUCAAGAUAAGAUUGACUCAGCACAAUUCAUGAAUUGUCCAUUGUAAUCACAUUGACUGGCACAUAUAUAAUGAGAAUCACUACAAUGACCAUCAAAUGGGAACUAAACUACUUUUGUAAUUUGGCAACUCAAGAAAGUCAUUUGAUUUCCAAACAUGGUUUAAUUGUAGGUUCCAACGUCUAUCAUUUGUCAAUUGUUAGUCUGAAGCUGUAUUUAAAGUAAUGCAGAAAACGUCUCCAGACUAACCUCAAGAAAAUUUAUUCACAAUCUGCAACAAAACUAAAGUAUUGCAUAAGAGUAAAAGAAAAAUACAGCAGCGCUUGAUUAUAUAAACAUGUAGAAACAUUUUUUUUUACGGUGAGCAGUUAUACCGAGCUCUCUGGCUAAUGUUCUAGUGCAACAUCUCAACAAAAACACUCAGGCACGAGAUCAACUUUUUCUUGAGUAGAUCAACUCACAUUUUGUAUGAGAAAAGACAUUUACAGCUAUAAAGAAAAGAUGCAAGAACACAUACUUUGAGUACUACUCCAAGGCAACCAUGUCAAGAAGAUCAGUCCUUUCAAUGCAACAGUGUCUUUAUUACACCUAUGAUAGUGUCUUGUGUUAUUGUUUAAUAUCAAGUGCAAAAGAGAAUUCAAAGUAAUGGAUACUUGAAGUAAAUGAUUGUUAAAAGCCUUCCUGAACAGAGCUGAGAAUGGCGUACAUCGUAUUUCAUCAUACCGAGUGUGAAAUUGUCCAUCUUGGAUCUAGAGUCCAUCUAUUGCUGAAAAAUAUGGUUAAGUGAAAGAAUGAUUUUUUUUAUUAUCUGUAUUUUUCUGGAAAGGAAUUACUUCGAGACCAAAGAGAGUACAUAUAAGGCAUUGACCUGAAACACACUCAGUUUGUUUGAAAGAAAAACAAGACAUAACGCUAUAAAUUAAGUACAAAUAGAAGCAGAUUUCACCUGAGAAGGAAAUGGUGCCACAACAAGUAUGGCACACGUCACAUACACUCAACAUGAUGGCCUUUGAAGUUAGCAGAAUACUGAGAAAUCAAGUUUUGGACACUGGUUCGACUUGUGGUCAGAUAUUAUUAAGUGCUCAGUUAAGUGCAGUAAUUCUGUGGGACUUAAGACAGUUGGGCCGUACUGGCUUGGUUUCACGCUGGUAAGUGCUCAUAACAUCCAAAAAUUGUGCCAGUUAUUCUCACCUGAUCUAAAGUUUCAUAGCCAAUUGUUUGGUCUUUGAAACCUCUCUGCGUUAUGUUUUUAACGUACACUCAAAAAAAUUAUUUCAGCAACAGCAGAGAAUUACAGAAUAGAAAAAUAAAUAUGUUCACCUUUCACUGAAGAGCAAAU